CAGCAGCCGCGGGAAAACGAGGGGGGCUAGCGUUGUUCGGAAUUACUGGGCGUAAAGCCCGCGCAGGCGGUUCUCCAAGUCAGUGGUGAAAGCCCGGAGCUCAACUCCGGAACUGCCAUUGAAACUGUUGAACUUGAGGACGAGAGAGGUGAGUGGAAUUCCCAGUGUAGAGGUGAAAUUCGUAGAUAUUGGGAAGAACACCGGUGGCGAAGGCGGCUCACUGGCUCGUAUCUGACGCUCAGGCGCGAUAGCGUGGGGAUCAAACAGGAUUAGAUACCCCGGUAGUCCCUGUCUCUUAUAC
rnacentral:rRNA from 1 species